GCUAAACAGCUAGCUUCAAUGUUAAAAUAACAAAACAAUAUUAAUAAAACGUAAUUAACCUAAAAAAGAAAAUUAAAUCAUUCUUUUAUCUUAGUACGGGAGACGGAAAAGAUAUUCCUAAGCCAUAGAGAGAGUACCGCAAGGGAAGGCUGAAAGAGAAAUGAAACAACCCAUAUAAGCACUAAAAAGCAAAGAUUAAAUCUUGUACCUUUUGCAUCAUGAUCUAGUUAGCACACCCAAGCAAAGAGAUCUUUAGUUUGUAACCCCGAAACCGGAUGAGCUACCCCAAGACAGCCUAUUUAGGGCCAACCCGUCUCUGUGGCAAAAGAGUGGGAGGAGCUUCGGGUAGAAGUGACAGACCUAACGAACCCGGUGAUAGCUGGUUGCCUAAGAAAUGGAUAGAAGUUCAGCCUUGCACUCCUUAAACCAAAUUUUAUGUAAGAGAAGGGAAAAGAAAGCUGCGAGAGUUAGUUAAAGGAGGUACAGCUCCCUUAACGAAGGAUACAACCUUAGUAGGAGAAUAAAGAUCACAUUAAUUAAAACACAAUGUUCUAGUGGGCCUAAAAGCAGCCACCUAAUCAGAAAGCGUUAAAGCUCGGACAUAUAAGAGUUUAUUAUUCUGACAAAAAAUCUUAUUUCCCUAAGUUUAUUAGGCCACUCCAUGCACCCAUGGAGGAGAUAAUGCUAGAAUGAGUAAUAAGAAGGCCCGCCCUUCUCCUGAGCACAAGUGUAAACCAGGCCGGACAAGCCGCUGGUAAUUAACGAACUCAACCUAAGAGAGAAAUGCGGACUAUGUAGUAAACAAGAAAAGCCCGCAACAUAAAUCGUUAACCCCACACUGGAGUGCUUAACCACAGGAAAGACUAAAAGAGAAAGGAAGGAACUCGGCAAACUCAAGCCUCGCCUGUUUACCAAAAACAUCGCCUCUUGCAACUAACCAAGUAUAAGAGGUCCAGCCUGCCCAGUGACUUCGGGUUCAACGGCCGCGGUAUUUUGACCGUGCAAAGGUAGCGCAAUCACUUGUCUCUUAAAUAGAGACCUGUAUGAAUGGCUAGACGAGGGCUUAACUGUCUCCCUUCUCCGGUCAGUGAAAUUGACCUACCCGUGCAGAGGCGGGUAUAAAAAUACAAGACGAGAAGACCCUUUGGAGCUUAAGGUACAAAGCCCACCCACGUUAAACAACCUAGUAAAAGGGACAAACUGAGUGGAGUAUGGGGACUUACCUUCGGUUGGGGCGACCACGGAAGACAAGCAAGCUUCCAAGUGGACCGGGAUUUAUCCUAAAGCCAAGAGGGACUCCUCUAAGCAGCAGAACAUCUGACCAUCAAUGAUCCGGCCAAACGGCCGAUCAACGAACCAAGUUACCCUAGGGAUAACAGCGCAAUCCUCUCCCAGAGUCCAUAUCGACGAGGGGGUUUACGACCUCGAUGUUGGAUCAGGACAUCCUAAUGGUGCAGCCGCUAUUAAGGGUUCGUUUGUUCAACGAUUAAAGUCCUACGUGAUCUGAGUUCAGACCGGAGUAAUCCAGGUCAGUUUCUAUCUGUAACGCUACUUUUCCUAGUACGAAAGGAUCGGGAAAGAGGGGCCCAUGCUUAGGGCACGCCCCACCCCUAAUUUAUGAAAACAAAUAAAUAAAAGAAUGGGAGAGCCAAAAAGUUCUUCAAAAUAAGAAGAU
rnacentral:rRNA from 1 species